rnacentral:rRNA from 1 species
UACGUAGGGUGCAAGCGUUAAUCGGAAUUACUGGGCGUAAAGCGUGCGCAGGCGGUUGUGCAAGACAGAUGUGAAAUCCCCGGGCUCAACCUGGGAAUUGCAUUUGUGACUGCACGGCUAGAGUGUGUCAGAGGGGGGUAGAAUUCCACGUGUAGCGGUGAAAUGCGUAGAGAUGUGGAGGAAUACCGAUGGCGAAGGCAGCCCCCUGGGAUAACACUGACGCUCAUGCACGAAAGCGUGGGGAGCAAACAGG